AUGAAGUUGUUGUUGACACUUGGUCUGUUUGGAACUUGUGUGGUGUUGAUGGUUCCUGGGAUAGCCUGCCGUAGCCCAAAAGACAAGGAACAUUAGCUAAAAUAGAGGAGCCAAAAAAGGAGAACUGUGGUCCAAAGUUAUUACCUGCUGCAAUGCUAAUUGUAUUUGUUGUUGUAGUGUUGACUGGAAUUCUUCGUUGAUUUCUUCAAUUUGUUUCUUAGUUUCUUCCUUGUCUCUUUCCCUUGCUGAAACUACAAGUUCAAGCUUUUCUUUUAAUUCUUCAACCUCUUGUUGGUGCUGCAUUCUUUCUUGUCGAACUAAAACUUCAGUACAGGCUGCAUCUUCUUCUCUAUGUUUCAGUAGAGCAUUUCUUGUUGGAUAUUUCGCCAUGUAUCCAUGUCC
rnacentral:lncRNA from 1 species